rnacentral:rRNA from 1 species
CAAAAACAUUGCUUCCUGUAAAUCAAUAAGAAGUAAUUCCUGCCCAGUGACUAACGUUUAACGGCCGCGGUAUCCUAACCGUGCAAAGGUAGCAUAAUCACUUGCCCGUUAAUUGCGGGCUAGAAUGAAAGGACCAACGAAAUAAAAACUGUCUCUAUGAGUCUACCAAAAAUUAAUAUCUAACUGAAGAAUGUUAGAUCCUGCCGAAGGACAAGAAGACCCUAUAGAGCUUUAUCUUAAUGAGGAUAAACACCUUUCUAAGAUUCGGUUGGGGCGACCAGGGAAUAUAACUAAUCAUCCCAUUUCUUCCAGAUAUCUAAAUCUUAAUACUCGACCCUUAAUCAAGAUCAUCAAAAUAAGCUACCUUAGGGAUAACAGGCUAAUCCUAUUAAAGAGUCCUUAUCGAUAAUAGGGUUUGGCACCUCGAUGUUGGCUUAGGGAAUCCAUACGGCGCAAAAGUCGUAUAAAGAUGGUUUGUUCAACCAAGAAUACCCUACGUGAUCU